UACGGAGGGGGCUAGCGUUGUUCGGAAUUACUGGGCGUAAAGCGCACGUAGGCGGCUUUGUAAGUUAGGGGUGAAAGCCCAGGGCUUAACCCUGGAAUUGCCUUUAAGACUGCAUCGCUAGAAUCGUGGAGAGGUGAGUGGAAUUCCGAGUGUAGAGGUGAAAUUCGUAGAUAUUCGGAAGAGCACCAGUGGCGAAGGCGACUCACUGGACACGUAUUGACGCUGAGGUGCGAAAGCGUGGGGAGCAAACAGG
rnacentral:rRNA from 1 species